rnacentral:rRNA from 1 species
UCGGGAAUUUUGGGCAAUGGGGGAAACCCUGACCCAGCAAUGCCGCGUGAAGGAUGAAGUAUUUCGGUAUGUAAACUUCGAAAGAAUAGGAAGAAUAAAUGACGGUACUAUUUAUAAGGUCCGGCUAACUACGUGCCAGCAGCCGCGGUAAUACGUAGGGACCAAGCGUUGUUCGGAUUUACUGGGCGUAAAGGGCGCGUAGGCGGCAUGACAAGUCACUUGUGAAAUCUCUGGGCUUAACCCAGAACGGCCAAGUGAUACUGUCGCGCUAGAGUGCAGAAGGGGCAAUCGGAAUUCUUGGUGUAGCGGUGAAAUGCGUAGAUAUCAAGAGGAACACCUGAGGUGAAGACGGGUUGCUGGGCUGACACUGACGCUGAGGCGCGAAAGCCAGGGGAGCAAACGGGAUUAGAUACCCCUGUAGUCCCUGAGCGGGCUGGCAAGGCG